AAUCAACGCUGGCGGCGUGCCUCAGACAUGCAAGUCGAACGCGAAAGUUCCCUUCGGGGGAUAAGUAGAGUGGCGUCCGGGUGAGUAACACGUAGGUAAUCUACCUUUGGGUGGGGAAUAACAACCGGAAACGGUUGCUAAUACCGCAUAGUGCAGCGGCACCACAUGGUGACAGUUGUUAAAGCGGGGGAUCGCAAGACCUCGCGCCUAAAGAGGAGCCUGCGGCGGAUUAGCUAGUUGGAGGGUAACGGCCUACCAAGGCAACGAUCCGUAGCCGGCCUGAGAGGGCGGUCGGCCACACUGACACUGAAAUACGGGUCAGACUCCUACGGGAGGCAGCAGUCGGGAAUUUUGGGCAAUGGGCGAAAGCCUGACCCAGCAACGCCGCGUGAAGGAU
rnacentral:rRNA from 1 species